GCGGGACCUAGCAUCCUCCCGCUUAGACCCUGCCGGUCCAAGUGUUGC
rfam:Erythrobacter sp. HI0063 HI0063_c10, whole genome shotgun sequence.